rnacentral:rRNA from 1 species
UCGUCAUCGUAGGGUUAGUCGGGAACUAAGUCGAGUCCGAAAGGGGUAGACGAUGUCAAAUUGGUUAAUAUUCCAAUACCAACAUAUAAGCGCGAUGUGGGGACGCAUAGAGUUAAUCGAGCUCACUGAUGGAAUAGUGGGUCGAAAGACGUAGGUUGAUACUUAGGCAAAUCCGGGUAUCGUUAGACCGAGAUCUUACAGGCUCUUGACACUCUUCGGAGGAGAUAGAGAAUCGAUGAUACUGUCGUGCCAAGAAAAGCCACUAAGUUUAUUAUAUGUUGCCCGUACCGUAAACCGACACAGGUAGGUGGGAUGAGUAUUCUAAGGCGCGUGGAAGAACCCUGGUUAAGGAACUCUGCAAACUAGCACCGUAUCUUCGGUAUAAGGUGUGCCUACUUUGGUAUAGAGAUUUACUCUCGAAAGCUAAAGAGGUUGCAACAAAGAGUCCCUCCCGACUGUUUAC